rnacentral:lncRNA from 1 species
GUCCAAACAAUUGAGACUAUGAUUACGACAUCCCUUUUCAUAGUUCUUAAAAUUGUUUACACACACCUGUAAGCUAUCUAAGAUAAGGUGUAUGAUAUUGAUAAAGUUUUAUCAAAGCAAUGUAGUAUCAGAAAUCUGAACUUUGGUAAGAAAGUCAAUAAGUUAUUGAUUUCUAGAAGUCCAGCUGAUUUCUGAGUACAUGUCAAAGCUAGUGGGAGCAUAAGUGUUAUGUGAAUAAUCAUCAUGUUAGUGGGAGCAUGAUAAUUAUGAUAAAGGUUGCAAGUUAGCAAUGUUAAUUAUAGAAAACAGAAGGUUUCAAUUGGGAAAAAGUUGUUUUGCUAUAAUUAAGGGAGAGGAAAUUAUACUUCAUCUCAAAUCUAAAAGCUUAGAUUGAGGUUUUAAUCGUAUUUAGUCAAGGAUAUAUAUAUGAAUUUCAUGUUGGAAUGGCUCAACAUAAGGAAAUUCUGUAUAUGGGUCCAUUAUUUGCG